rnacentral:rRNA from 1 species
UGGGGAAUAUUGGACAAUGGGCGCAAGCCUGAUCCAGCAAUGCCGCGUGUGUGAAGAAGGUUUUCGGAUUGUAAAGCACUUUCGGCGGGGACGAUGAUGACGGUACCCGCAGAAGAAGCCCCGGCUAACUUCGUGCCAGCAGCCGCGGUAAUACGAAGGGGGCUAGCGUUGCUCGGAAUGACUGGGCGUAAAGGGCGCGUAGGCGGUUGACACAGUCAGGCGUGAAAUUCCUGGGCUUAACCUGGGGGCUGCGCUUGAUACAUGUUGACUUGAGUGUGGAAGAGGGUCGUGGAAUUCCCAGUGUAGAGGUGAAAUUCGUAGAUAUUGGGAAGAACACCGGUGGCGAAGGCGGCGACCUGGUCCAUUACUGACGCUGAGGCGCGAAAGCGUGGGGAGCAAACAGG